UGUAUCUUAUAGCUAAAUGAAAUGCGGGCAUGUAUUUGUUUUAAAUUCUUUUUAUUGUUUCGCUCAGAUGAGACAGCAGAGACAUGGUAGCCGAUUUCGAAAGAGUGAUACCGUAACCGCUGUGCUUUCCAUUCCCAAUGAGUCUUGCAAUAUUGUACACAUUGCCCGGGCAUCGUUCUAUUACUUGCAUGGGUUCGAAGCUUAUUUCACAUAGUUUUAAGCACUCGAAGUUGUAAUAAUUGUGCGCGACAUUUGCUUCUUUCAAGCAAUGCCAUAGUUGAUGUGUAUCAUUUUGCGACAGGUUUACUCCAUAUCUCGUCGGAUGACCACUGCUGAGCCAAAGGCGUACGGCAGUUACUGCAGCUGGGCAUCGGUGGACGUAGAUGUUACGGUCAAUCUGAGUCACGGUAUGAGGACGGUGACAUUUUCCCUGGAGUUGAUGAUCCUGUGUAAUGUCCCGC